UGGGGAAUAUUGGACAAUGGGGGAAACCCUGAUCCAGCGAUGCCGCGUGAGUGAAGAAGGCCCUAGGGUUGUAAAGCUCUUUCAGGGGGGACGAUGAUGACGGUACCCCCAGAAGAAGCACCGGCUAACUUCGUGCCAGCAGCCGCGGUAAUACGAAGGGUGCAAGCGUUGUUCGGAAUUACUGGGCGUAAAGCGCGCGUAGGCGGUCUACUAAGUCAGACGUGAAAGCCCUGGGCUUAACCCGGGAAUGGCGUUUGAUACUGGUGGACUAGAGAUUCAGAGAGGUGAGUGGAAUUCCUAGUGUAGAGGUGAAAUUCGUAGAUAUUAGGAGGAACAUCAGUGGCGAAGGCGGCUCACUGGCUGAAUACUGACGCUAAGGCGCGAAAGCGUGGGGAGCAAA
rnacentral:rRNA from 1 species